UGUGACCUCAAAUCAGGUAGGACUACCCGCUGAACUUAAGCAUAUCAAUAAGCGGAGGAAAAGAAACUAACAAGGAUUCCCCUAGUAACUGCGAGUGAAGCGGGAAAAGCUCAAAUUUAAAAUCUGGCAGUCUUACUGUCCGAGUUGUAAUCUAGAGAAGCAUUAUCCGCGUUGGACCGUGUACAAGUCUCCUGGAAUGGAGCGUCAUAGAGGGUGAGAAUCCCGUCUUUGACACGGACUGCCAAGGCUUUUGUGAUGUGCUCUCAAAGAGUCGAGUUGUUUGGGAAUGCAGCUCAAAAUGGGUGGUAAAUUCCAUCUAAAGCUAAAUAUUGGCGAGAGACCGAUAGCGAACAAGUACCGUGAGGGAAAGAUGAAAAGAACUUUGGAAAGAGAGUUAAACAGUACGUGAAAUUGCUGAAAGGGAAACGCUUGAAGUCAGUCGCGUUGAUCAGAGAUCAACCUUGCUUUUGCUUGGUGUACUUUCUGGUUUGACGGGUCAGCAUCAAUUUUGAUCAUUGGAAAAAGGUCAAGGGAAUGUGGCAUCUUCGGAUGUGUUUAUAGCCCUUGGUUGUAUGCAAUGGUUGGGAUUGAGGAACUCAGCACGCCGCAAGGCCGGG
rnacentral:rRNA from 2 species